rnacentral:rRNA from 1 species
UGGGGAAUAUUGCACAAUGGGCGGAAGCCUGAUGCAGCGACGCCGCGUGAGGGAUGACGGCCUUCGGGUUGUAAACCUCUUUCAGUAGGGACGAAGCGUAAGUGACGGUACCUGCAGAAGAAGCACCGGCUAACUACGUGCCAGCAGCCGCGGUAAUACGUAGGGUGCGAGCGUUGUCCGGAAUUACUGGGCGUAAAGAGCUCGUAGGCGGUUUGUCACGUCGUCUGUGAAAUCCUAGGGCUUAACCCUGGACGUGCAGGCGAUACGGGCUGACUUGAGUACUACAGGAGAGACUGGAAUUUCUGGUGUAGCGGUGGAAUGCACAGAUAUCAGGAAGAACACCGAUGGCGAAGGCAGGUCUCUGGGUAGUAACUGACGCUGAGGAGCGAAAGCAUGGGUAGCGAACAGG